rfam:Aedes aegypti strain Liverpool supercont1.73 genomic scaffold, whole genome shotgun sequence.
GGCUCGGUAGCUUGGCUGGUAAAGCACUAGUCUAGCAUACAAGAGUCGUGGGUUCGAAUCCCAGCUGAGCAC